rnacentral:rRNA from 1 species
CUCAGUAACACGUAGUCAACCUGCCCUGGAGACAAGGACAACCCCGGGAAACUGGGAUUAAUCCUUGAUAGGUCAUCUCAUCUGGAAGGAGAGAUGGCUUAAAGGGGUACGCGGGCUUCUUCCGCGCAUCCGCUCCAGGAUGGGACUGCGUCCGAUCAGGCUGUUGGCGGGGUAAUGGCCCACCAAACCUGUAACCGGUACGGGCCUUGAGAGAGGUGGCCCGGAGAUGGACACUGAGAGAAGGGUCCAGGUCCUACGGGGCGCAGCAGGCGCGAAACCUUCGCAAUGCGCGAAAGCGUGACGAGGUUAAUCCGAGUGACUCCCGCUGAGGGGGUCUUUUGUCAGCUGUAAAUAGGCAGGCGAAUAAGGGGAGGGCAAGCCUGGUGUCAGCCGCCGCGGUAAUACCAGCUCCUCGAGUGGUCGGGGCGAUUAUUGGGCCUAAAGCAUCCGUAGCCGGUUCCGUAGGUCCUCUGUUAAAUCCAACCGCUUAACGGUUGACCUGCAGAGGAUACCGCGGGACUAGGAGGCGGGAGAGGCGGACGGUACUCCGCGUGUAGGGGUAAAAUCCUUUGAUCCGCGGAAGACCACCAGUGGCGAAGGCGGUCCGCCAGAACGCGCUCGACGGUGAGGGAUGAAAGCUGGGGGAGCGAACCGGAUUAAAUACCCGGGUAGUCCCAGCCGUAAACGAUGCUAGCUAGAUGAUUCAUUCGCAAGUCGCGAAUGAAGUGUCGCA